rnacentral:rRNA from 1 species
UGAAAUUAAAAAAUAAAAUUCAUUAUUAUAUAAUACAUUUAAUAAUAGUUUAAGUCAAAUAUAUUUAAUUAAAAACUGAAAAGGAUAAGUAAUUUUUUAUAAAAAGUAAUUAUUUGUACCUUUAGCAUAAGGGACUUUUUAAAAAUAAUAAAAAUUUAUUUUAUUCGAAAUCAACAGAUCUAUUUUAUUUAUAUAAUAAUAUAUUGCAAAAUAUCAUUGAAAAGUAAAAUAGAAGUGAAAUUCUUUUCAAAGUUGAGGAUAUCUAAUUUUAAUAAAUAACUAAAAGUUUUCUUAUAAGAAUAAUUAUUAAUUAAACUUAUAAGCAAAUAUUUAAGGGAUAAGCUUUAAAUAUUAAUUAUAUAAACUAAUUUCAUAAUUAAAAAAGAAAUAAAAUUUUUCUAUUAUUGUUAUAAGUAAUUAAUUAUUUAGUAUUUUUAUAAAAAUAAUUAUUUAUUUAAUAAAAUAAAUUUCUAUUUAAUUCAAAAAUGAAAGUAUUAGUAAAAUGCUUAUUAAUAAUUUAAUAUUUAAUUUCAAAUUAAAUUUUUAAAAUAAAUUUUAAAAAUUAGGCAAAAAAUUUUUUUGACUGUUUAUUAAAAACAAUGUAUUUAGCUUCUCAAUAAUUAAAUAUAAAUCCUGCUCAAUGAAUAUUAAAUUGCUGUAGUAUUUUGACUAUACAAAGGUAUUGUAAUAAGAUUUUAAUUGAGUGCUAAGAGAAUGGAUUUUCAAAAAAAAUCUUUUUUAAAUUUAAAAAUUGAAGUUAUUUUUAUUUGUGAAGAAACAAUAAUAAAAAUUAUAGACAAGAAGACCCUAAGAAUUUUUAUAACUUUUCGCUAAAAAUUUAAUGAAAAGUUAUUUAAUUGGGGCGAUUUAAAAAAAUAAUAAACUUUUUAUAAUUCAAAUUCGAUCCAUUAAUAAUGAUUUUAUGAAAAAAAAAUACUCUAGGGAUAACAGCGUAAUAAUUUUAGAUAGAUCUUAUAGAAAAAAUAGUUUGCGACCUCGAUGUUGGAUUAGGAUACUUUUUUAAUGAAGAAGUUAAAAUAAGAAGUUUGUUCAACUUUUAAAAUCCUACAUGAUCUGAGUUUAGACCGAUGUGAAUCAGGUUGGUUUCUAUCUUAAUUUUAAAUUUUUUUUAAUUAGUACGAAAGGAAUUUUAAAAAAAAAUAAUUUUAUUAAUCUUAACAGUUUUUGCAUCAAUUUUUGGAAUU